UCUGAGCCGCGCGUUGAAAUUGGAUCCGGUGCGGGAGAGAACAACUUGGCUGAACAGAGGACUGUUUUGUCCCUGUUCUCUGACUGGCAACGGACCAAUCUCUCUCACGGGCAACUAUUGUCUAGCCUACAGGACCUUCGGGACCUACACAGGACCUGCUGUGUAUCCAAGACCAAGAAAACAUCCCGUCAGGAACAAUAGAGCACCAGCAUGUUCUUCAGCACCGUCCUGUCUCUCUCUACUGGACUCCGCUACCAGCCACCAGCAUGACUUCCACACUUCAUCGGUUUCUCUCUCUACUCUGCCACCGCUGCCAUCCAGAGGGAGGUACAGGACAGUCGGGCAGGCUGACUGUGUGGAGGAAGUACAGCAGGACCUCCACUACCAGUUGUAGUGUUGCUGGACGGGAGAAUAACGUCUGGG
rnacentral:lncRNA from 1 species